GUUAAAUCGGAGCCGAGAUUCAAACCACCAACCUACAAACCGUGGGGGGAAUGUGUGAACCACAGAAGUUUGGGUGGUUUGCAAAUGCAAAAACCAAUAUAAACAAGUUAGAAUGUGACGCAAGGAAGACAAGCUUUGAUAUAAAGAUAUAAAGCGGAGCAACAGUACUAUUAGAGGCUGCAACCCCCCUUCCAGAUGGAGGGGGGGGGGGGUAACUAUUGAUUUUCUCUUUAAUAUGAAAUGUGGAGCUACACCUCCCUGUGUGGUCCAAGGAUAAUGGCUUGAUGGAGUGUGUGUAUUAUUUGCUCAGGUUCCUCUCUAAGAUCGGCGCUAAAUCUCCGUGUGGAACUCGGCCCAUCCAGAAUACAUAAUCCCUCCCAUGCUUGGGAGUCUUAUAUUACAUGCUCGGGUGAAUGUUGGAUUUUUAUGGUCACUCGGUGCAUGGUGCUCUCUCUUGGUGCAGAUGGCUUGGAGGGAUAAAGUCUGCUCCAGUGUCAGGAGAGCGGGGGGGCACAGUUCUUCCGUGUGAUAAAUACUGCUCCCAUGCUGUGAUUAUGCUGGCCCUUUGCGGUAUGGAGUCAUAACGGCCCUCGAGCAAACACAUGUGACGGGCCAAAUUGCUCAGCGUGAUUUAUUUAUUUAUUUUUAAAUUCCGUUCCUCCUCAUUUGGGUCGUGGGUGCGUUGGAGACUAUUCGAGCCGCCUUUUGACUCUCUGAACCGGCCGUGUACUUUUGGUGGUGGUGAGAUUGGCACGCUGAGUUAGAAGUUGAAUUUUGUUAAUGACAUUCUGAGCUUUUACGACACCGGGGGCUCUCAUGUGUGUUUAUGUCAUACAAAGUCAGUGUCUCUGAGAAAAGACAAGUUGAUUAUGGUCUUUAACUCAUUCACUCCCAAAGACGUUUCUAAACGUCUUUUCAGACUUAGUCCAGAAUUGGCUGGUAGUGAAUGAGUUAAGCACGAGCUGUGGGGACUCCUCAUACGUGGGCUGAGACUUUGAUGCGUCCGCUAACUGUCCAUAUCUGUGAGUGUGUAUGGUUGUGUCCUGCAAUUGACAUAGGACCAUUCCAGGGUGUAUCCAACAUCUUGCCCAAAAUCAGCAGCGACAGGCUCCAUUUACCCGCGAACUGGAUGUGGCGAAAUUAUGACAACUAUUUUGCUAAUGUCUUCAUCCUAUAGAAACCAAUCGGAUUGUUUUGAUGGCGUCACUCUACUGCCCGGAACCACAAACAUAUUUUAUCUUUAUGGUGGAUGUUAUUCCUCAAGGGUGGUGGGGGCGGGGGUAGAAUGAAUCUUGUUUAGUAUGUUUAUGUCCAAAGGGUGAAUUCUCUUCAUGUUGUGUUCUCAGCCAUCGUAACGACUGAUUUGUUUUUGAAGUUGAAAAUUCUCUCGGCUGGCUUUCUUUCACUUGGGUUUUGCUAUCAUAAUUUGCCAUUAAUUAAUGGAAGGUCUGAUGGGGUUUUUUUUCUUUUCAUAAUUCAUUUUCCCUGUUGGAGGCAAGAAAAGCAAUGCUUUGAGCUUAUGUCGCUUGGGUUUCCUGCCAGGCCUAACGUCUUGGUUGAAGAGAUGAAGACGCCGUGGCGCAAAAUAAUAACAUGAAACGGCUGCAUCUGCAGCUAGAGUUACAGUCACAUACAGGUUCGAAGAUGAACACUUCACAGAUGGACUGAUAGGAAUGUGCCAUUUUUUAUUCUGGGGUGAGCACGCACGGCCAUCACUUUGCACCGUCCCGACUUGGCUCCAUCUGCUCUGGCAGGCUGGCGACCUUUGGCAAAUGGAAGAUUUUUUAAAUAUUAAUAGCUGCAAUUGGAGACGUUUAACAAAGAAAGCAAGUUUGAGCAUUUUAUAGAAACAGUUAACUUCAAUGUCCUGCAGGCUCUUAAAAAAAAAAAAAAGAGGCGCUGGAAGAAAGCGCAAGACUUUAAUUAUUAAUGUUAUAAUGUGCCUUUCCCAAGGCAAUGUGCCAGGUUUCGUAACACAAAUGUAAAUUCAGACGGGAUAGCAUUCCUAUUCAUGCAAGUGUGCCUCCAAAAAAGGUGAAUGCUGAGAGAUAACUAGCACAAAUGCUGAGAGACACCUAUAGCCAGUAAUAAUGUAUACUGGAAAUAAUUUCCAUCUGAAUGCUAAAAAACAAGUAUUUUAAAUUUGUGAAUGGUGGAAGACGAAUACUGAUGCCGAUUCUAUACCGAGAAUGCUGAAAAAGAUGCACAGGAUAUUGUGCAUCAAAACGUUGACGGCAGUUAUUUAUUUAUUUACACAUCGACAAUAAUGCAAUAAUGUUGGACAUCAUUUGUAUCUGAAUGCCAAGACAUAAAAAAUUCACACUAACGCUGUUUAUUAAAACAUGCCACUCCGUAACUGCUGUGAGACGACCAUUGUCAGUAAUGAUGAGUGCUGGAAAUGAUUUGGAUGUGAAUGCCAAAUAAGACACUGUGACACUAAUGUUUUUGCAUGGCAAAAAUAAUGUUUGUAAAUAGUGAGAUAUCAUGUUGAUCAUAAGUAUCGGUCAAGAAUUCACAUUCAGGAUAGUUGGCACUUAAAUUUGUGUUAUUUUGUGAAUGCUAAUAGAGGAGCAUCCCCUCGAAUGCAAUUGUGUUUUGAGAUUUUUGAAUGGCGGCAAUGAUCUCUGCAGAUACAGUGCUUUAGCUGACAAAAUCCGGUAGCGUCUGGAUCAAAUCCUGUACAGCAAAAAAUAAAAAAUAAAAUAUAAUCUGAGAAGAUGUCAGGGAGUUUUGCAUUACUUCCCCCCAAUUUAUGACUUCUACAGUCCAGAAGAACCUUGUCGAGCUAGUGAGGAGUCUGUCCAUCCAUUGGACAUCCGUUAUAAUUUAGAUUUAGAUUUUGACAGACACAGUUACAGGCCUCUUAUCAUUUAUUUCUGAGCAUUGUGGCUCAGUACUCUCAUGAAUUAUCGAAAGGAAUUGUAAUUUCUAGUUGCAUGUGAAGAUCGACAAUGCAAAAAAAAAAGGGAGGGGGGUGGGGGUUAUUCAUUCUAAAUUGAUUCACAAAGUGUGAGCCAAACUGUUGAUGAGGUCGAACUUUUCACAUGGCGGGGGAUGGGGGGUUGGGGUGGGGCGGUGGAACUGCAUCAUUACCAUGCCAUUGGGAAGUUAAUUACAGCAAAUGAUACAAGUAAAUAUGACACUUAUUGGCCCAGGUUGGAAGGAGACAUCUGGCCUUCGUCGGAGCUCAAGUCCCUGUGAUCGCGCCACCUCCACCAGAAGAACAUGGCUACAAUCAUUGCAAUAAUCAAUGUCUCGAAUCCCAUCUGCGCUUGUAAAAGUGUGUCUUCCAAAAUUCCACCAGGGCACUGUUCUCGCUUUGUUUACACCGUGAUAAACCCGAUGAGUACUCGUAAAAUAAACUAAGCUGGGAGGGGACUGGGACUUGUGGGAAAGGGGUGGGGGUGGGGGGGCGUUACAACUGCAUUUGGAGACUUAAAGGUUUAAGUCCCCGGAAGAAUUAAGAGAUAAAAGUUUUUAUUUGACAGGGCUAAUGGCUUCUCAGGGUGAGCCAUGCCUGAGAGAUGAUAGAGAACAAUCAAACAAAAAAAAAAAGAAAAACUAGGACACUUUUACAGCUCUCGGGCGCCCCCAAAUUUGUUGACAGAUACAGGAAGAGCCACCAACUUGGGACCAAAAGACCUUGAAGAGAUGAAAAUGUCUCAAUCUAAACAGAGCUUUUUUACCUCACCGUUUUGACCGAAAAAGAGAUUCAACCAUUGAAAUAAAAUUGUGGUUCGGAAGCACUAUUUGGGACACACAUUCACUUAGUGGCAGGAGGUACAUGCGGUUUACACAGUGUGAGAUCUAAACGGUGAGUUUUAAUAAGAUGUGUACUUAGUUGCUGUUCUAAUUAGCAUUAUGUGCAAGCCCGGCUAAUAUUCAUUUGAGUUGACAUUGCUUAUAUAAUUUAGGAUAACAGGUUUUAAUAAAAUCCCCUCUUCAUGCUUCAUUUCCACUGAUCACCAGCUGCCGGGUCAAUUGAAUAAUUAAGGAUUGAAUUAAGCUUCAGCGUGGAUCACAGUCUUCCGGCACAGGCCAACCUGGUACGCCAGAAUACCAGAGCCCAAAUCAAAUAGGCG